AAGCCGAGAGGUGGUGCAUGGCCGCCGUCAGCUCGUGCCGCAAGGUGUCCUCUUAAGUGAGGUAACGAGCGAGACCUGUGCCUACAAUUACCAUCGACUCCUUUUGGAGGAUCGAGUACAUUGUGGGAACUGCCUUGGAAACAAGGAGGAAGGUGCAGGCUACGGUAGGUCUGUAUGCCCCGAAUUCCCUGGGCUACACGCGCGCAACAAUGGUAGGGACAAUGGGACACAACUCCGAAAGGAGAAGUUAAUCCUCUAAACCCUAUCUUAGUUCAGAUCGAGGGCUGUAACCCGCCCUCGUGACGAUGGAAUCCCUAGUAAUCGGACGUCAACAUCGUCCGGUGAAUAUGUCCCUGUUCCUUGCACACACCGCCCGUCAAAUCACCCGAGCAGGGUUUGGGUGAGGCUUACUUUUUUGAGUAUUCCGAACCUAAGCUCAGUGAGGUGGGUUAAGUCGUCACAAGGUAACCGUAGGGGAACCUGCGGUUG
rnacentral:rRNA from 1 species